CCCGCCUCUGCAUCAUUUGUUCCAGGCUUUCUGGAAGUAUUUGCAGAACUCCUUCCCAGGACAGAUAUCUUCACUCCUAACAUGUUAUCUUGGAGAGUCCCAUCCCCCAAGAGCUGACAAUCAAGAUGAUUGCAAUUCUGGGAGAGAAUACAGUGCGGGAUGCCAGAAAAAUCCUUUCAAGAAGAGGCACCAUGUGAUUUUUGGAGGUUUCUGGGAAGACACAGUUAGCAGCACCUGCAAAACCCUGGGAGAAUCAGACCCACGGAGUCCUAAUGCCUGAGAGCAAUGAGAAGCUAGCCAAUUAUCCCCAGAAGGCUCUUCCUACUGAGGCAAAUCAACUCUUUUCAAGACUCCAGGCAACUGUUUGGAAAAAUGACCUUCUCCAGGCCUCAGAGCUGAAGUGACCUGCUCCUUCCCCUCCUCUCA